UACGUAGGGUGCGAGCGUUGUCCGGAUUUACUGGGCGUAAAGGGCGCGUAGGCGGCGCGGUAAGUCACUUGUGAAAUCUCUGAGCUUAACUCAGAACGGCCAAGUGAUACUGCAGUGCUAGAGUGUGGAAGGGGCAAUCGGAAUUCUUGGUGUAGCGGUGAAAUGCGUAGAUAUCAAGAGGAACACCUGAGGUGAAGACGGGUUGCUGGGCCAACACUGACGCUGAGGCGCGAAAGCCAGGGGAGCAAACGGG
rnacentral:rRNA from 1 species